AGCGAACGCUGGCGGCAGGCUUAACACAUGCAAGUCGAGCGGGCACUUUCGGGUGUCAGCGGCGGACGGGUGAGUAACGCGUGGGAACGUGCCCUCUGGUUCGGAAUAACUCAGGGAAACUUGAGCUAAUACCGGAUACGCCCUUUUGGGGAAAGGCUUGCUGCCGGAGGAUCGGCCCGCGUCUGAUUAGCUAGUUGGUGAGGUAACGGCUCACCAAGGCGACGAUCAGUAGCUGGUCUGAGAGGAUGAUCAGCCACACUGGGACUGAGACACGGCCCAGACUCCUACGGGAAGCAGCAGUGGGGAAUAUUGGACAAUGGGCGCAAGCCUGAUCCAGCCAUGCCGCGUGAGUGAUGAAGGCCUUAGGGUUGUAAAGCUCUUUUAUCCGGGACGAUAAUGACGGUACCGGAGGAAUAAGCCCCGGCUAACUACGUG
rnacentral:rRNA from 1 species